rnacentral:rRNA from 1 species
AGAGUUGAUCCUGGCUCAGGAUGAACGCUAGCGGCAGGCCUCAUACAUGCAAGUCGAGGGGCAGCAUAGCACUUCGGUGCUGAUGGCGACCGGCGCACGGGUGCGUAACGCGUAUGCAAUCUACCUUGUACAGGGGAAUAGCUUUUGGAAACGGAAAUUAAUACCCCAUAUUAUCCAUUUAUCGCAUGAUAGUUGGAUGAAAGCUCCGGCGGUACAAGAUGAGCAUGCGUCCCAUUAGCUCGUUGGUAAGGUAACGGCUUACCAAGGCUACGAUGGGUAGGGGGUCUGAGAGGAUGAUCCCCCACACUGGCACUGAGACACGGGCCAGACUCCUACGGGAGGCAGCAGUAGGGAAUAUUGGGCAAUGGGCGCAAGCCUGACCCAGCCAUGCCGCGUGCAGGAUGAAGGUCUUUAAGAUUGUAAACUGCUUUUUUAUGGGAGCAACAACUUCCUGCGGGGAGGUAUGAGAGUACCGUAAGAAUAAGCACCGGCUAACUCCGUGCCAGCAGCCGCGGUAAUACGGAGGGUGCAAGCGUUAUCCGGAUUUAUUGGGUUUAAAGGGUACGUAGGCGGCAUUGUAAGUCAGUGGUGAAAGCCAACAGCUUAACUGUUGAAUUGCCAUUGAAACUGCUUUGCUUGAGUGCAGUCGAGGUAGGUGGAAUUCCAUAUGUAGUGGUGAAAUGCUUAGAUAUAUGGAGG